CAGGCAUGCUAUCAGAGAGCUCCUUCUGCUUGGGCUGCUCUUUGGGAUGUAUAAACCCACUUGUGUAACUCUCCAGAGGACUAAAACCAGCUUGAUUGAAUGCUACGUAUGGCUUGGCAGUGUAGAUGCAGCAUUACCAAGACACUGAGCAGAGUUGUAUCAGAGUCACCUCUUUCACCUGCAAAGGGCGCUUUGUGCGGUCGUGGACAGGAAAGGGAAAUCCUCGUGUCGCGGAGCAGUGAGGGAAGGUGAGUGUUGUCAGCCUGGUCAUCCCUUAUCUGAAGCGAAGGGAAGACACUCAGGUGUUUCCCUCAGAGGGUCCGAGGUGAGUCUGUUUGGGAUAGAGGAGCAGCGUGGCAGGUGGGUGCUUGCAAGCACAGUGGUUCUUUUGUCCUUUUGUGUUCCCCGGUGGUGUGGAUGAUGCUGGCCGCUCCUUUCAAGCUUGGACCUAACUUGCAGGUCCGGAGGCAAGUGGAGUGCUGUUUUGAAAGGAUAAAAGUAAAGCUGGGGUCGCUUAUGUUGUUGAGGGAUGGGUGCUACUGCUGGCAGCUGAAUGUUUAUCUUCUGCCUGUGUUUUGCCUUUCAU